GAUCUAUGGAGGCCGAAAGGUGGGCCCCGGCUAUCACUCACGCCCGCGUCGGCUCGACCAAUAGUGUCCGUGAUACAGGUUCAGGUCUGAAGGAGCAGGCAGGGGGUCAGGCUGUGUAUUGAUCCUUCUGCUGGGAGUAAAACAUCUAUAGCUGCUCCACGUCUAUCUGUGUCCAUGCUGGUAGCAGUUGAGCGCCUGCAGUGUUGCACGUGGAGGGGAAGGGAACAAUGCAACUAACGGGGGUUAAGCUUUGAUUACAGCACGCGGGCACAAUAAGCAAACAUUCAGCCAGCACGCCAGGUGUGUGCGGUGUAACGCGCUGUCAUGGCGUGAAAUUCAAUACAGUUAUUAAAUAAAAAAGAGUCGAAAUGAAUGCAUUCUUUGGAAACUGUUCACUGUGUUCGUUGUUUAAUCCAAUAGUUCAUAAAUAGUUCCCAUAAUAAUAAUGUUCGAUGUUGGUGGUAAAUUGUGUCUUCUAAAAAAGUCCCAAAAGUGUUUUGUGAAUCUUCUAAACUCUGCGUUAGGAAUAAAAGUACUGUGUCCUCCGCAAUAAUAAACCUGUUUUUUCCCGUUA